rnacentral:lncRNA from 1 species
CUGGGAGGCGCUGUGGGGCAUCCCUUCUUUGCCUGCUGCUUUUGCCCCCAGGUCUCUCUUCCUUCGAAGGCCAUCCCUGUCCUCCAGGCCACUGGUGUCCAGGUGAUCAGGGUGCCUUUCUCUGCCCACCUGGAACCUUUCGGACAGAGCCAGGGGCAUCAUUAUGGGAAGACUGUGAGCUCUGUCCCCCUGGCUACUACUGCCCCGAGGCUCAGCUGAGGGGCCAGGCAACCGUGUUUCCAAUCGCCUGCAGAGCUGGAUCUGAAUGUCCUGCAGGUGCUGUGGCUGAGGUCUCAUGCAGGGCUGGCUCCUACUGUGGGCCCCAGACUGGAGUCCCCCCUCUCUGUCCUGGGGGCUAUGCCUGCCCUGCCGGCUCCUCCACCUACUCUGGCCCCGGGCAGCUUUGCGAGUUUCCCUAUUACUGCCCACCGGGCAGCACCCAUCCACUUGCAUGCCCUGGGGGCUCCGAGGCCCUGAAUAGGAGCGGCCUCAGGAUCUCCAAGGAGUCUUGCUGCCACCUCUGUGAGGCUGGCACCUACCGCAACCGGGCCCUGGACGCCCUGCCCUGCCAGCCCUGCCCAGCCGGAUUCAGCUGCCACCAGGGUGAGUUCGGAAACCUGGGUAACAGCAAGACAGGGGGGCCCAGGCCUCAAGUCAGAAGUGGGCAUAGCCCAGUGAGGAGGAUGGAGGUGGCAGAUAGGGGGUACCCCACGGGCCCUGGGAGUGUGCAGGGGAAGGGGCCUGUAGUGUUUCUCAGCUGGUAAAGAC